rnacentral:rRNA from 1 species
AUUGAACGCUGGCGGCAUGAUUUACACAUGCAAGUCGAACGGUAACAGGCCGCAAGGUGCUGACGAGUGGCGAACGGGUGCGUAAUGCAUCGGAACGUGCCCAGUCGUGGGGGAUAACUACUCGAAAGAGUAGCUAAUACCGCAUACGAUCUAUGGAUGAAAGCGGGGGACCGUAAGGCCUCGCGCGAUUGGAGCGGCCGAUGUCAGAUUAGGUAGUUGGUGGGGUAAAGGCUCACCAAGCCAACGAUCUGUAGCUGGUCUGAGAGGACGACCAGCCACACUGGGACUGAGACACGGCCCAGACUCCUACGGGAGGCAGCAGUGGGGAAUUUUGGACAAAGGGCGCAAGCCUGAUCCAGCAAUGCCGCGUGCAGGAAGAAGGCCUUCGGGUUGUAAACUGCUUUUGUACGGAACGAAACGGCUCUGGUUAAUACCCGGGGCUAAUGACGGUACCGUAAGAAUAAGCACCGGCUAACUACGUG